CCUACGGGAGGCAGCAGUGAGGAAUAUUGGUCAAUGGCCGGGAGGCUGAACCAGCCAAGUCGCGUGAGGGAAGACGGCCCUACGGGUUGUAAACCUCUUUUGUCAGGGAGCAAGGUGCAGGUCGGGACCUGCUGUGAGAGUACCUGCAGAAAAAGCAUCGGCUAACUCCGUGCCAGCAGCCGCGGUAAUACGGAGGAUGCGAGCGUUAUCCGGAUUUAUUGGGGUUAAGGGGGGCGAAGGCGGAGGCAAAAGUCAGCGGUAAAAUCGCGGGGCUCAACCCCGCCCCGACGUUGAAACUGUGGCCCUGGAGUGCGCGAAGGGUAGGCGGAAGGCGUGGUGUAGCGGUGAAAUGCAUAGA
rnacentral:rRNA from 1 species